rnacentral:rRNA from 1 species
CGGCGGACGGGUGAGUAAUGCCUAGGAAUCUGCCUGGUAGUGGGGGACAACGUUUCGAAAGGAACGCUAAUACCGCAUACGUACUACGGGAGAAAGCAGGGGACCUUCGGGCCUUGCGCUAUCAGAUGAGCCUAGGUCGGAUUAGCUAGUUGGUGAGGUAAUGGCUCACCAAGGCGACGAUCCGUAACUGGUCUGAGAGGAUAAUCAGUCACACUGGAACUGAGACACGGUCCAGACUCCUACGGGAGGCAGCAGGG